rnacentral:rRNA from 1 species
GUGGGGAAUCUUGCGCAAUGGGCGAAAGCCUGACGCAGCCAUGCCGCGUGAAUGAUGAAGGUCUUAGGAUUGUAAAAUUCUUUCACCGGGGACGAUAAUGACGGUACCCGGAGAAGAAGCUCCGGCUAACUUCGUGCCAGCAGCCGCGGUAAUACGAAGGGGGCUAGCGUUGCUCGGAAUUACUGGGCGUAAAGGGCGCGUAGGCGGACAGCUUAGUCAGAGGUGAAAGCCCAGGGCUCAACCUUGGAAUUGCCUUUGAUACUGGCUGUCUUGAGUUUGGGAGAGGUGAGUGGAACUCCGAGUGUAGAGGUGAAAUUCGUAGAUAUUCGGAAGAACACCAGUGGCGAAGGCGACUCACUGGCCCAAUACUGACGCUGAGGCGCGAAAGCCAGGGGAGCGAACGGGAUUAGAAACCCUUGUAGUCC